UUAAUAAUUCACAACAGUCAAAAUCAUUCUCAAAAACCUUUAUUUUCUGAGUCUGAGUUAUGUCGUAGCAGCAAAUGAACGAUAUAUAUCGAUGGCGCCGGUGCUUUCCUCUUUACGCGCGGAGUGCACGCCCGUUGGCCCUAAAAGCCGUCCGCAUCAGGAAUUCUCGGGGGCCAUUUUUCGAGGUCCUUCACCGCGCAACACACCUCGAGACACGACUACUGAAUAAUAUUUCAGCGAACGCUGGCAUACGUUAUCCUGAGAGCGGCGUCGCUUAUACUGCGCUCCGCCGCGCUUUUGCCGCAGCAAAAUAUUUGAUGACUACGACCUGGAUGCUGCGAAUUAUGUGCUAUAGUUACAGUCGAGACGGAGAGGAGACGGCGGGCUGGCGGAGGUAGAAAGUGGAAGACGUGCGGCGGCGAGGAACGAGGGUUAAUUUCCUAUACUGGACGUAUCCACCGGCAAAAGUGCCUGGGUUUUCCUUCCAAGUGUUUCCACCCCGUCGUCUCGCAUCAUCGCCACUGCAUCUUGCCCAUUCUUCUCGCUUCAUCGCCUCGCACGAACGCAUCGUUCAUCCCGAUCGCCUGCGAUUCCCUCUGGGGGUUUACGUAUGCCGGACGCAGUUCGGCACCGAUUCAUCAAAAGGACCUCCUACCCGUUUUUCGCCAUUUAAGAAAAGAGCCGCCGGUCUCUCCCCGGCAAAAAGGAAGACGGCGAUGUCGUUAGAGGCAGACUUGCCUUCAUGAACGGAAGGAUCGCGAAACGAUCGGGACGCGAAGGGAGAAGAUAUCCCCCAUCCCUUCUAAUAGAGGUGUGCUCGAGAGGGCAUCCGGAGAUUGGAGCUUGCCAGUGAGCCAACUAUCGUUUCCGCGCGUCUCAUCCUCGCCGUAUCUGCGACGACGACGACGACGACGACGACGACGACGACGACGACGACGAACGCUGCGGCCGAAUUGUCCGCAGAAAAUUGUCUGUCGGAUGUUAGAUGCCAGCAGCGGAAGUUUCUUAGUGGCCGUUACGAAGAAACGUAACAUAC